AUAUAAUUAUUUUCUGAAUUUCUGAGAAAAAGCUUAAAAUUUUGUUUCACUGUUUUGUAAAUCAGUUUUGGUUUUAAUGAGCAAAUGAAAUUUAUUCUGCGCGUUUUACUUUUUACUUAUUUUUUCUUCUUUACUCACUUUUUUUUAAAGUUACAAAAAUCAACUGAAAUGAAGAAACGAUUGAUAUUGAUGUUUUUCAAGAAAGGUUAAUAAAUAGAAAGUAGAGAAUGGUCAGCAUUCUAUGAAUUAGAUUUUAAUUGUUCAUGGAGGAUAAUUCUCAACCUGGGAAGUUUUUGAAAUACUGGUACACUUUAAGAAGAUAUAAGUGGGUAAUUCUUUUCCCUACAGUAUCAUUCUCACUCAUCUACUUCGAUUUCACUCGCACUCUGAAGUAUAAGGCUGAAAAAGCUAAGUUAGCAGCUGUAGCUUACUAAAUUCUCUG